rnacentral:lncRNA from 1 species
UAAGAUUCGUACCGAGGCUUCGGUGGUGGCUCUCGUUGAUCCGGUGGUGGCGAUCUUGGAGGUUGGGGUACCCUUGAGGUACCCUGAGGGUUAUAUCCUCGUCCCCGCAGGGCAGCCCGUGGAGGGCUCCGUGCUCGGGGUACCCGCGGUAUUGGGGCCUCCACCCUCUUGGGCUUCUCCUUGUUCUUUGUAACAUCGGCC